rnacentral:rRNA from 1 species
AACAAACGCUGGCGGCAGGCUUAACACAUGCAAGUCGAGCGAGACCUUCGGGUCUAGCGGCGGACGGGUGAGUAACGCGUGGGAACGUGCCCUUCUCUACGGAAUAGCCCCGGGAAACUGGGAGUAAUACCGUAUACGCCCUGUGGGGGAAAGAUUUAUCGGAGAAGGAUCGGCCCGCGUUGGAUUAGGUAGUUGGUGGGGUAAUGGCCCACCAAGCCGACGAUCCAUAGCUGGUUUGAGAGGAUGAUCAGCCACACUGGGACUGAGACACGGCCCAGACUCCUACGGGAGGCAGCAGUGGGGAAUCUUAGACAAUGGGGGCAACCCUGAUCUAGCCAUGCCGCGUGAGUGAUGAAGGCCUUAGGGUUGUAAAGCUCUUUCAGCUGGGAAGAUAAUGACGGUACCAGCAGAAGAAGCCCCGGCUAACUCCGUGCCAGCAGCCGCCGCCG